rnacentral:rRNA from 1 species
GAUGAACGCUGGCGGCGUGCUUAACACAUGCAAGUCGAACGGAAAGGCCCAAUCUUGCUUGGGUACUCGAGUGGCGAACGGGUGAGUAACACGUGGGCGAUCUGCCCUGCACUUCGGGAUACGCCUGGGAAACUGGGACUCAUACCGGAUAGGACGAUGGUUUGGAUGCGAUUGUGGAAAGUUUUUUCGGUGUGGGAUGAGCUCGCGGCCUAUCAGCGUGUUGGUGGGGGAAUGGCCUACCAAGGCGUAGACGGGUAGCCGGCCUGAGAGGGUGUACGGGCACAUUGGGAAUGAGAUACGGCCCAGACUCCUAAGGGAGGCAGCAGGGGGGAAGAUUGGACAAUGGGCGGAAGCCUGAUGCAGCGACGCCGCGGGGGGGAUGACGGCCUUCGGGUUGGAAACUCCUUUCGCUAGGGACGAAGCGUUGUUGUGACGGUACCUGGAGAAGAAGCACCGGCUAACUACGUG